AUUGAACGCUGGCGGCAUGCCUUACACAUGCAAGUCGAACGGUAACAGGUCUUCGGAUGCUGACGAGCGGCGAACGGGUGAGUAAUACAUCGGAACGUGCCUAGUAGUGGGGGAUAACUACUCGAAAGAGUGGCUAAUACCGCAUGAGAUCUACGGAUGAAAGCAGGGGAUCGCAAGACCUUGUGCUACUAGAGCGGCCGAUGGCAGAUUAGGCAGUUGGUGGGAUAAAAGCUUACCAAGCCGACGAUCUGUAGCUGGUCUGAGAGGACGAUCAGCCACACUGGGACUGAGACACGGCCCAGACUCCUACGGGAGGCAGCAGUGGGGAAUUUUGGACAAUGGGCGCAAGCCUGAUCCAGCAAUGCCGCGUGCAGGAUGAAGGCCUUCGGGUUGUAAACUGCUUUUGUACGGAACGAAAAGCCCUGGGUUAAUACCCUGGGGUCAUGACGGUACCGUAAGAAUAAGCACCGGCUAACUACGUGCCAGCCGCCGCAGUAA
rnacentral:rRNA from 1 species